AGCUCCAAUAGCGUAUACUAAUGUUGUUGCAGUUAGAAAGCUCGUAGUUGGAUUUCUGGCUUCGGUGCGCCUGGCCCGAGGACCUGGUGUCCUUGUGAGCCGGUUUGCGCAUCGGCCAUCCUUCGGGAGAGUGUCUCUGCCCUUGAUUGGGUUGGAGGCAGGAUCCUGACCGUUUACUUUGAAAAAAUUAGAGUGUUCAAAGCAGGCCUUUUGUGCUGUGAAUACAUUAGCAUGGAAUAAUAAGAUAGGACUUCGGCCCUAUUUUGUUGGUUUCUGGGUUGCUGAGGUAAUGAUUGAUAGGGAUAGUUGGGGGUGCUCGUAUUCAACGGCCAGAGGUGAAAUUCUUGGAUUCGUUGAAGACGAACUUAUGCGAAAGCAUUCACCAAGGAUGUCUUCUUUA
rnacentral:rRNA from 1 species